AACAGGAGCAUGACAAAUCAGAUUUUUUCUCUUGAUUUUUAGUUUUUUCUUCAUGUAAAAUUCAAAUCCAACUAGAAAUAUUAAAAAUCAAGAAGAAAAAUCUGAUUUAUUACGAUCUUAUU
rnacentral:pre_miRNA from 1 species